CUCUGGGUGGCCAUUGGGAGCAAUGGGAAGUGGGGUGUUGCUGUGGGUGUCACUGGGGGUUGAGAAGUGGGGUGCUGUUCUUCAUGGCAGUCGGGAGGGUGAGAAGUAGGGUACCAUGCUGGGCGGCCAUUGGGAGGAAUGGGGUGCUGGUUCGCAUGGCUUUUGGCAGGGAUGGGAUCAGGGUGCUGCACUGGCGAUCAUGGGGAGCGGUGGGUUCAGGGUACUCUGGUGGGGGGCUCUGAGGAGGGUAAGAAGUGGGGCACAGAUGUGGGUGCUCAUGGGGAGGGGUGAGGUCAGGUCCUGCUCUGCCCGGCCAUCAGCAGGGGUGCCAUUGGGGUGCAGGUCUGUGUGGGGCAGGAUGGCUGUGGGCCCCACCUCUUCCCCCUCAGCUUGCUGGAGGGUGGGUGAGAAACCUUUCGUGGUUUCUCUUCCUUGUGGCCGUGCGAAGGUGGUCCAAGUCCAGACUUCUGCUGGGCAGCAGAGCAGGAGAGCUGCCCAAAUUCCAACCCAGAGAAUACAAAGGGCCCCAUGCAGUGCUGUGGCUCUGGGGAGAACGAGCUGUCCCGGAGUGGUGGGACGUGUCCAGGGGCCACGGCGGGCUGCAGCCCCUCACCUUGUGUCCCUCACAGCUGCCAUUCUCUGGGGCCUGCCCUAACCGCGGCCAGGGUGGGCGCCAAUGGCCAACGCUCACUAUGGGAGGAGCCCUUCCUGCUCCUCGCGUGGCUGUGCUAUUUGCACUGUGACCACCGCCCACCCCGGCGGUCCCACCAGGCCACCCAGAGGGCCCUGGGGACGCUGCCCCACGUGCACCCCGCUAGGAAGCCUCUAGAUCCUGGGCACCGUUUCCUCUGACGCGUUCCUUCCCCCCAUCCUCUCCUGGCCUUGCGAGUGUCUGCAGGGCACCGUGCAUGCACUUAAAGUGUGUUCCUGGGUGAGGCUGUGGUCACUGGAAGCCCUUCCCAAAGCGACCCCCACAAGGCCACGUUCCAGCCUCCGGGUUGGAGGGCUGCUUCUCACACGGGCAGCUGAGCCGGAGGUCCGCAUGGAGUUCCAGCAGAAGUCCCAGAGAGUGUCCCUACUGCCUUCCCUUCCGUUCCCACUGGGAACAGCAGCGCGUCCGGUGCCUCCAACAGCUCCAAGGAUGGCCUCCCUGACGCCCCCUGAGCGCAAGGAGUUGUGGCUCUGCCAGUGCCUUUGUGCCCUGCCCACAGGGGAGGGGGCUCGGGGGGUGGCACCUGCAGCCACGAGGACUCCAUCUCCUGGCCGAGCAGAGGUGGUGAGGAGGGGAGCUGCGGCCUGGCGUGCAGUGUGGCUGCAAUAUGGGUGGCACCGCGCGGGACAUCACCGGGCUGUCAGCUCAGCACGGGCACAUGGCUGUCCAAAGAGGUUCCAGGCACAGAUAAGACGUUCAGUUGGGAUUUGCGCCUCAGGGGACCAGCGGGGACAUUUAAGGGCAGCGUGCGCGGCCAUUAUUAGUGCUUUUGGCUGUCAGCUUCAGCGUGUCCUCACAGACUGCCUCAAUGGCACCAAGCUCAGUGAGGGCCGCUGGGCCCCGGUGCGGCCUGCAGCCCUGCUCCCCAUGGGGUGCUGCCCUGAAGGGAGGCAGGGCGAGCAGAUCCAGGUGCCCUCGGGGGCUGGGAGCUACAGAGCAGCCCUGCCUGGGGGUCACACAGCCGUGGGAGGGGUCAGGUUUGGGUGGGGGUCCACACUUCCCCCACUUCCCAUAUCCCAGAGCUGGGUGUCACAGGCCUUGUGGGACUCGAUGCAGUCAUUUCCCUCUAUUAUUGGAGCUUUUUUAUCAGUGAGUUACGAGUCCUUUGCCACCGGCAGUGGCCUGAGCGCUAUACGAUGUACAAAGAAAAGGCAGCUCUGGUGCCAAAGUGCUUAUUGUUCAAAAUGCAGAUUUUUUUUGUUUUUCUUUUUUUCCCUUCAAAGCAAACCAAUAGACGGAAAACCAGAUGAAAAAACAGUGGGAGCCCAGAGACGAGAGAGAAGGAUUUACUUUGUUAUUUAACCUGGGAUCUGCUGCGCUGUGCUCAGCAGCCUGCCCUAAGGAGCCUGCCUUGGGUGGGGUUGGGCUGGGGGAUCUGCAGAGCUUCCUUCCCACCCCUGAAAUCCUGUGAUUCCGUGGUUCUGUCUUCUCCAGGCACCCCUUGAAAUGGAGCCCUGGCAGAGAUCGUAGAUUGGUUUGAGUUGGACGGGACCCUGAAAAGCCAUCUGGUCCCACUCCCCUGCAAUGGGCAGGGUCACCCACAGCUCCUUCAGGAUGCUCAGAGCCUGGUCCAUUUCUGAGUGCUUCAUUGUUUUUAACGUGCCGCAGAAUUCUGUGUCGCCAACUCACGAGUGCAGAUGUUGUUGUGGACCGGCAGGAGCUAUUGGCAGUUGGGUCUUUUCCCACCUCCGAAGACAUGUGAAGCAAUUUGGAUCCAUGCGACGCUAGCUGAAUUGUGCUGUUAACAUGAUAAGUGGCGUUACAAAUAAACCCUUUGGAAACGCUACCAAGGUAUUUGAAACGCACAGGCCUAUCAAUGCUGUGAAGCGCAGUGUUGCCACAAGAACCGGUGCCAUGGCAGAAGUCGAGAGGAAGCUGCUCAUUCCGGCAUGCCCAGCCUGCACGCCAUGCCAUCCUUCAGUCUUGGAGCUGCAUGUCAACCAGGAUGACAAAAGCAGUGAUGGAACGGCAGCUUGCUUGGGGGGCUGUGCAGGGGACCAUGGGCCCUCUGGAGAAAAACAGCAAGCGAGGAGGUCGUUAAUGCUGGGGGAGCAGUCUGCAACUGCGGCCCUGGUGCUGUCCUUCCCAGUGCCAGCAGUGAGAGCCAAGGCAGGAGGGAGCUGUGCCUGUGAGUCCCGAUGGUGAGAGCUCUGCGUGAACCACCUUGGAGCCCGGACAGCUGUUAUGAUAGACCUCUAUUCUGAGCUGUUUGUCUGGUGAGUCACUUUUAAAGGAACAAGGCUGAAACCACAUUGCUGCUAAUGACUCCUUCCACGGGUGUGGCUUCCCUUUGCUUGAGUACGCUUGAAGUCAUGCGCAGUGAGAGGUGUUUUCAGGGACCGGCUUAUUUUUGGCACUGAAUUUAGAACAGGGCCAUGUUCUGCCCAGAAGUUCACACCUUGCAACUGGCUCCCACCCACCCUUCACUUAUUUACCAUUCCGUUUUGAAAAUGGACCGAGGACUACAGACCACACAUGCCUAUGAGAUGCUGCACUUCAUUCAUGAUGGUACUUCAGAUACUGAGUGUUGAACCCCCAGAACAGGAGAGCAAGUCAGUAAUUUGCACCAGGUCAACUUGAUUAUUUUCUGAUUAUUUUCGUCCCGCUAAUCCUGUCGAUUAAAGAGAGGUGAUCCAGAGCUGUCAGUAAUCUUUGGGGAUGAAGCACGGGUGGAGCAAAGUUGAGCUUAGUGAAAUCUACCGGAUAGACCAAAACAGCACCAAACUGUUUGGUUCUCACCCCCACUGACUCUCUCUUAAAAAAUACAUGUAGGAAGAUUGAGCAUAGAAAACAUUUAUCAUUUCAGCGCAACUUCUCCUAUAUCUCUUUGUGCCUCCUUGUUAAACAGUGCUUUGCUCUCUGGAAACAAGGCGAAAAACAAGGGGACAGAAUAAAGUUGGGGUACUUGAAUUUGUGACUUAAUUACGUCGUCAUUACCAGAGCGGCUUCCCUAGAUGUGUGCAGGACUGUGUGAUACAUCCUGAGGAACGCGUCCCAGUCCUGUGAGGUACCUGGUGAAAUCAUUUCAAGUAUCUACUGCCGACUUUGCUGGGAAUAAAGAUGCCUUGGGAGACUCACUGCACCCAGCCCAGCCACGGAAACAGCAAUUGUGCCUUCGCCUCUCUCUGUUCUCAAAUACAAGCAGUUUGUCACCAAAGUGGUGCUUGAAGUAACUUCACUAAUUUCAGUACGGUUUAACCGAGAGCAGGUUUCAUCUGCUGCCUCCGAAAUAUUAGUUUGUGGAUUCCCGUGGAAAGAUAAAACAGGAGGGAGAAAAAUAUUCUCCUUCACUUGUGUGAAUUCCUACUAAAACAUCAUUUACUUUCUUGUUCCCUAGUGGAAGAGCAUGCUUGAUUUCAAUUAAAAUGAAAUGUCAUCAUUUUGGGACGUGCUGCAUAGUUUUAACAAAUACGCCUUGUGUUCAUCCAUCAGGGAGAAGAUGUUGGAUUUGUAUAAAGGCCAACAGGUACAGAGGAUGCUUUGCAUUCAUGGUGAAAUUACCUGUGCAUGUAUCCUACCAGCACCCUGUUUAGCUGAACUCAGCCAGGGCAGAGGAUUUUCCCUCCUUUUCCACCCGUGUUAGUCGCAGGUGUUUAGAGCAGUCUUUGUUCCACCUCUCUGGUGAUGGAUUUCCUCAAUUCUGCAGCCUCAGGUCUGGGUCCCUGGGUCCCAGCAGCCUUUCCCAGUUGGAGAUACUGUGUCCUGCAAGCCCCCACUGUACUGGUUGGCAGCAGUGGUCACUGGUGAUGUUUUGCUCUGAACAAGGCUGUAUGGCCAGAUCUGGAUCCUCAGCUCCGCAAGAGGUGUCAACAGCAGCUGUGACGAACUGUUCUCAGCAGGUCCCCUACCAAAGCACAGCUGACUGGAGACCUGUCUUCUGGAUGGCAGUCAGAUGAGGUGAAUCCCUCACUGUCUACACUUCCCAUUACAUACUGUUGCAUCUAAUGUACUUUCUAUUGCUUUGGUCUUCAAUGAGCAGAACUUCCAGUGUGAUGCUCCCAUCAUUGCCACUACCUCCUUCAAUUUGUCACUGGAACGUUUUAUUAGCUUACUCCUCCCUUUACUGCAGAGAUCAUUGAUGAAAUAAGCAGUAAGAUCAUUUCCAGCACUAACUCUUGGUGAGUACUGUGGACUGUAUUCUAAGAGCACGUUCAGAAAGCUUGCCAUGACCUUCUCUUUGUUAGUUAAUUGCUGUGUUCUGAUACAUACAAGCUGACUGAUACUUUUUGUGCAUUAGAAUAUCAAAUAUUUCCAAAGUCCAAUCAAAUAUGAUCUACAUUGCUUAAACCGUAAGGUUAGAGAAAACAUUAAAUUUGUCUAAUACGAUCUGUCUUUCAUAAAUCAUCUCUCAUUUUGUAUCCACGUGCUUAUUGUUGUUUUAUUCAAAACUUAAGUAUUGCACAGCAUAAACUCCAGAAGUUUGGUGUCCGCUAAGAUUAUUUUCCUCCCACUUUCUGGAAAGAUGUCCACAUUCCCUGUGCUUCAGUAAUACAUCUGUAUUCCUGGUUUGACAGACUGAUGGCUU
ensembl:lncRNA